CCUACGGGAGGCAGCAGUGGGGAAUUUUGGACAAUGGGCGCAAGCCUGAUCCAGCCAUGCCGCGUGCGGGAAGAAGGCCUUCGGGUUGUAAACCGCUUUUGUCAGGGAAGAAAAGGUUCUGGCUAAUACCUGGGACUCAUGACGGUACCUGAAGAAUAAGCACCGGCUAACUACGUGCCAGCAGCCGCGGUAAUACGUAGGGUGCAAGCGUUAAUCGGAAUUACUGGGCGUAAAGCGUGCGCAGGCGGUUAUGCAAGACAGAGGUGAAAUCCCCGGGCUCAACCUGGGAACUGCCUUUGUGACUGCAUAGCUAGAGUACGGUAGAGGGGGAUGGAAUUCCGCGUGUAGCAGUGAAAUGCGUAGAUAUGCGGAGGAACACCGAUGGCGAAGGCAAUCCCCUGGACCUGUACUGACGCUCAUGCACGAAAGCGUGGGGAGCAAACAGGAUUAGAUACCCUGGUAGUCCACGCCCUAAACGAUGUCAACUGGUUGUUGGGAGGGUUUCUUCUCAGUAACGUAGCUAACGCGUGAAGUUGACCGCCUGGGGAGUACGGCCGCAAGGUUGAAACUUCAAAUUGAAUUGACGG
rnacentral:rRNA from 1 species